UACGAAGGGAGCUAGCGUUGUUCGGAAUCACUGGGCGUAAAGCGCACGUAGGCGGACGUGUCAGUCAGGGGUGAAAUCCCGGAGCUCAACUUCGGAACUGCCUUUGAUACAGCACGUCUUGAGUCCGGAAGAGGUGGGUGGAAUUCCUAGUGUAGAGGUGAAAUUCGUAGAUAUUAGGAAGAACACCGGUGGCGAAGGCAGGUCUCUGGGCUGACACUGACGCUCAUGCACGAAAGCGCGGGGAGCAAACAGG
rnacentral:rRNA from 1 species